ACGGUGGGGACUGGGUGGAGGUGACAGGACAGGAACAGGUCCCUUCCCUGCACAGGCCUGAGCCAGCAAACCCAGCAGACUCUGUGCCCUCCCCCGGGGCUGCCCCUCACCUCUGCCCAGGCUCAGUGUGACCAGGGAGCACUGGGUCCUAGAGACAGACACAUGGGUUGGGGACAGGCCCAGCCUUGGGAAGGUCUGGGCAGCAGAGAGACUCUUGGAAGGGGACCUGGAGGUCUCGCAGCCACCCCAGAGCAGGAAGAAGGCCACCCUGACCCUGGGGAGCAGGGCUCUGCCUGGGCCAGGAGAUCCAUGCACAGGAGGGGGCCCUGCCCAGACCCUCCAUCUCUGCUGAGCCAGGCUCUGUGAUCCCCCGGGGGAGGCCCGUGAC